AUUGAACGCUGGCGGCAGGCCUAACACAUGCAAGUCGAGCGGAUGAAGGGAGCUUGCUCCUGGAUUCAGCGGCGGACGGGUGAGUAAUGCCUAGGAAUCUGCCUGGUAGUGGGGGAUAACGUCCGGAAACGGGCGCUAAUACCGCAUACGUCCUGAGGGAGAAAGUGGGGGAUCUUCGGACCUCACGCUAUCAGAUGAGCCUAGGUCGGAUUAGCUAGUUGGUGGGGUAAAGGCCUACCAAGGCGACGCUCCGUAACUGGUCUGAGAGGAUGAUCAGUCACACUGGAACUGAGACACGGUCCAGACUCCUACGGGAGGCAGCAGUGGGGAAUAUUGGACAAUGGGCGAAAGCCUGAUCCAGCCAUGCCGCGUGUGUGAAGAAGGUCUUCGGAUUGUAAAGCACUUUAAGUUGGGAGGAAGGGCAGUAAGUUAAUACCUUGCUGUUUUGACGUUACCAACAGAAUAAGCACCGGCUAACUACGUG
rnacentral:rRNA from 1 species